ensembl:ncRNA F22A3.14 ncRNA
GGAAAACUUUCACUGGUCAAUCCAGGCGUGCCGUCAGCCAGAGAAAAAGCUGACCUGUGCCUAACUACCCUAAUCGAAGGAAAACGUGUUUUCUCAAUAGUAUCUCCCGCCAAACGAAAUGAGAUGUUUUUCGAUGAAGGGAUAG